GUGCUCACUCUGGCAGCACAUAGACUAAAAUUAGAAUGAUACAGAGAAGAUUAACACGGCCCCUACACAAGGAUGACAUGCAAAUUCACGAAGUGUUUCAUAUUUUU
rnacentral:snRNA from 1 species